UCAAGUUCUUGUAUGGAAAACUUUCACAUUUGACAAUAUAUCUUCACGAAAUCUAUAUAUGUGGCUAAAUGAGUCUCAGACCCCCCUCACACUAUUACACUUCCACACCACACACAUUACAUUCACCACAUCAUCAUUCUACACUACAUCAUCAGUUUACACCACAUCUUCAUUUCACAUUCCACAUCACACGCACACAAUACCAACAUCACGAAUUUUACACACAUGAGGACACCGCACAAAAAAGAACAAAAGGGACUGACGGACAAGGCACCAGCCUCUUUUGAUUACGAUCCGCGCGCAUAUACGCAUCGAUUGCCAUCUCGUCGCUUGAAUUCGGAAUCCUCUACUUCACUUUCGUCGCUAUUCAACGGGUGAGUUCGCGGGUUUGAUACCCACUAGUAUAUGGCCGGCAGCGUAAGUUUUUAUGGUCCUUCGAGCCAUACCGGACGGCACUAUUGGUAACACAAAUAAUAGAUAUAUCGGUCACGGUGACGCGUUAAAAGUGUGAAAAAAAAAAAAAAUUGGAAAAAAAAAAACAAAAACACAAAAUAACAUAUCGGUCACGGUGACGCGUUAACUAAAUAAAAUAAAAGUGUGAAAAAAAACCGUUUGUGAUACGGUUGAGAAAGCUGUUGAAAAAAUCGAAAAAAAAACAGUUGGUGAAUAUUGGAAAAAAAUACAAAAAGCUUGCUGGUGAUGGUGAAAAGUGAAAAAAACGGUGGUGCAAAAAUAUAAAAAAAAAAAAAAAAUAUUAAAAAAAAACGGUGGUGUACAGUUGAGAAAACUGGUGUGACAAAGUGAAGCAAAAAACCGUUGGUGGCAACGAACCAAAAAACAAAAAAAAAAAAAAAACAACGGUGGUGUACAGUUGAGAAAACUGGGAUAUAUGUAUUAAACAUAAAAUUUCAUGUGGAUAUGCAAAAGUGCAACUGAAAACAUAAAAGAAUACAAACUGGUGACAAGAGUGCAGUGUGGGAAAUAACAUCCCAGUAGCAAAAUAAUUCACUACUGAAAAAAGUAAGCGAGUUGGUAAUGGGUUGCGGGGCAAGAAACGAGAAAAAUUUCGCUUUAAAAUCGUUGUUGUUAUCUUCAAGAAAUGUGCGAAUUUUAUUCAUAUGAGUUGGUCAUCCGCACAACUGAUCGACCCAGCUCUCUGGGUAUGUGAGCGCUUCAGUACUAAAUUUCAUAGGAAAUAGGUUGUGUGACAAAACCGAUGCUUUUUUGUUGUUGUUCUUUUCUGAAAAUAAUUGGUAACCGUUAGUCCUGCCACGACGCCGACAAUUGUUGUCUUUCAAUUUUAAUGAUUGUGGUUUUUAGUAAAUUUUAAGUAUCAGUUGAAAGCGGUCGGGUGUGAAGUAUUAAAAGUUAUUUAAGUAUGUACAUCAAAGAAGAUUAAUUAAUGCCGAAAUAAAUGAAAUUCUAAAUAUAAAUAAUUCAAAUGACAAUAAUUAUAAUCUUAGUGAAUGUGACAAUGAUAAUGAAAAUGUGGUUGAAAUUAACAAUGAAAAUUCUAGAACUGAAAAUGUGAAUGAAAGUAGUUUGGUAGUUGACUUAAAACAAUGGGCAGUGAAAAAUAACGUAACUCGUGUGGCUUUUGAUGGUUUAUUGAAACUUUUAAAUAAAUGGCAUUUAAAUGUCCCAACUUGCGCAGAGUCUCUGAUUAUUAGGCAGGAUUCAAUUAUAAGAAGUGUUUCGCCUGGAACAUAUUUGCAUUUAGGAGUGGAAAAUAAGCUGCGUAGAAUAAGUGACAUUAUAUUAGCAAAAAUAAAUUUAGUGGUUCAAAAAUUAAUAGAUUUGGUGACAUUACAUCUUUUGUUUCUAAUUGUAUCACUCUAAAAGCCAAACCACCUGACAAUAUUUGUUUUGCUAAUGAUAGUCCUUUCCAAAUUUUUCGAUUUUCGAAUGAAGAAAAUGAGGUUUCCAUUAUAGGCAGAAGGUUUACAAAUUGUAAAGCAUAUUUCGAAAAACCUUUGAAUUCGCUAACAGAUUUAGGAAUUUUUACUGCGAACAAAACUCCCACUGCAAACGAAGAAACGUUUAAUAUAAAGCAGGUUAACUACAAACUUUUUUACUUUCCAAUUAAUGCCAACGAAUAUUUAUUCAUUCCUAUACUGCAUUCAAUUUAAGUAAAAGUCGAUACACAAAGAUGUCACAAAACUUAUUUACUUCAACUCCGGUAUUCAGAUGCAAUGCUACAUUAAGCGAUGAAAACAUUAGUCCAGGUAUGUUAAUAUUAAAUAAAUUUUCAACAAAUUUAAUUAACUUUUUGACCGAAAUUUUUUCACUUUUUCGAGCCAAAAACUCCAACCCCGGAAACCAAAAAAGUUAAUCUCAGCCCAAACAAGUAAUUUAAUUCACUAUUGUUUUUUGUAUAUUUGUAGUUCCGGAAAAUACUCAAAAUUAACUAAAUAAAAUCAAGCAAAAAAUAGACGAACUUAUAACAAAAUUGGAUGGUUAGAAUCAAUAUUACCAUUAGUAGCGACGUAAUGCAACUCACGGAAAUUGAAGAUGAUGUUUCCAAAAAUAAAGAUAUAUACGUGUCUAUUAUAAAAAACAUUAUUGGAUCAGUUGGAGUUACAAACGGAAUGAAAAAAAUUCUCAGCGAUAGCGUCAUGGUGCAGUUAAAUUAUGAUGGACUGCAAGACAAGGUGGCAUUCAAGAAGUUUGAGUGCCUAAAUAAUGCCAUAUAUGAAGCAAUGCAAGUGGAAGGUUUCACUAAAGGCGAUUAUGAGCGGG